rnacentral:rRNA from 1 species
ACCGGCGUACGGGUGAGUAACACGUACCCAACCUGCCUCUUACUGGGAAAUAGCCCUUGGAAACGAGGAUUAAUGUCCCAUAACAUUGCGAGAAGGCAUCUUCUUGCAAUUAAAGCUCCGGCGGUAAGAGAUGGGGGUGCGUCCCAUUAGCUAGUUGGUAGGGUAACGGCCUACCAAGGCUACGAUGGGUAACUGGCGUGAGAGCGCGACCAGUCACACGGGCACUGAGACACGGGCCCGACUCCUACGGGAGGCAGCAGUAGGGAAUAUUGGGCAAUGGAGGCAACUCUGACCCAGCCAUGCCGCGUGCAGGAUGAAUGCCCUCUGGGUUGUAAACUGCUUUUAUAUGGGAAGAAACCUUCGGAUUCAUCUGGAGCUGACGGUACCAUAGGAAUAAGCACCGGCUAACUCCGUGCCAGCAGCCGCGGUAAUACGGAGGGUGCAAGCGUUAUCCGGAUUUACUGGGUUUAAAGGGUGCGCAGGCGGACUGUUAAGUCAGUGGUGAAAGCCCCGGGCUCAACCUGGGAAUUGCCAUUGAUACUGGCGGUCUUAAGUAUAGUUGAGGUAGGCGGAAUGCAACAUGUAGCGGUGAAAUGCUUAGAUAUGUUGCAGAACACCGAUUGCGAAGGCAGCUUGCUAAACUAUUACUGACGCUCAGGCACGAAAGCGUGGGGAUCAAACAGGAUUAGAUACCCUGGUA